GACAGAGGGGGCAAGCGUUGCUCGGAAUUACUGGGCGUAAAGGGCGCGUAGGCGGGAUGGCAAGUCGGUCGUGAAAUCCUUCGGCUCAACCGAAGAACGUCGAUCGAUACUGCUGUUCUUGAGGGUUGCAGAGGAGACUGGAAUUCCCGGUGUAGCGGUGAAAUGCGUAGAGAUCGGCAGGAACACCCAGGGGGAAACCAGCCGACUGGGCAUCUGCUGACGCUGAGGUGCGAGAGCGUGGGGAGCGAACCGG
rnacentral:rRNA from 1 species